rnacentral:lncRNA from 1 species
GCCUGCCUGACACUCUGCAUGCUGCUGCUAUGGUGUCUGAUGGAUGCAGGCGUUUGCAUAACAUAAUGAGAAUCUCUUUAUGGCCCAGAAACCAACUGUUGGGCAUGUGUCUAUGGGGAGGGGGUGCUGGAAGACUAGGGGGCUGUGGCUGCCCUGGCAGAGGCCCACGUUUCAGGAGAGUCAUGUAUCCCUGCAUCUUCUGCAAGUGAGAACAUUCCCAC